AGACAUCAUUUUAAAACUCAAUGCUCCAGUUCAUUAAGACCACAAGGAACCAAACCCAGCUUUAAGAUGCCGUUUUUACUUCUUUUUAUGAUGCUGUCAGCCUGUGCUGCAAGUCCACAGGAUCUGUCAGGAAAGAUGUUUACGUUUCCACAAGAAACCAACACAGCUAGAGUCAUGCUGAAUACAUCGGCAGAUAAUCUGAGUGCUGUAACAGUCUGCUUAAGGUAGUGUUACAAGAAAAAAAUUAUCAGGAAAUAUGAAGAAAAAUAAACAAUUGAUUGUAAUA